GACAGAGUGUGCAAGCGUUAUUCGGAAUUAUUGGGCGUCAAGCGCACGUCUGCGUAUCUUUACGUCAGGGGUGAAAUCCUGGAGCUCAACUCCAGAACUGCCUUUGAUACUGGGGAUCUCGAGUCCGGAAGAGGUGAGUGGAACUCCGAGUGUAGAGGUGAAAUUCGUAGAUAUUCGGAAGAACACCAGUGGCGAAGGCGGCUCACUGGUCCGGUACUGACGCUGAGGUGCGAAAGCGUGGGGAGCAAACAGG
rnacentral:rRNA from 1 species